rnacentral:rRNA from 1 species
GGUUAAGCGACUAAGCGUACACGGUGGAUGCCCUGGCAGUCAGAGGCGAUGAAGGACGUGCUAAUCUGCGAAAAGCGUCGGUAAGGUGAUAUGAACCGUUACAGCCGGCGAUGUCCGAAUGGGGAAACCCAGUGUGAUUCGUCACACUAUCGUUAACUGAAUACAUAGGUUAACGAGGCGAACCGGGGGAACUGAAACAUCUAAGUACCCCGAGGAAAAGAAAUCAACCGAGAUUCCCCCAGUAGCGGCGAGCGAACGGGGAGCAGCCCAGAGUCUGAAUCAGCUUGUGUGUUAGUGGAACGGUCUGGAAAGUCCGACGGUACAGGGUGAUAGUCCCGUACACCAAAAUGCACAGGUUGUGAACUCGAAGAGUAGGGCGGGACACGUGGUAUCCUGUCUGAAUAUGGGGGGACCAUCCUCCAAGGCUAAAUACUCCUGACUGACCGAUAGUGAACCAGUACCGUGAGGGAAAGGCGAAAAGAACCCCGGCGAGGGGAGUGAAAAAGAACCUGAAACCGUGUACGUACAAGCAGUGGGAGCACCUUUAUGGUGUGACUGCGUACCUUUUGUAUAAUGGGUCAGCGACUUAUAUUCUGUAGCAAGGUUAACCGUAUAGGGGAGCCGCAGGGAAACCGAGUCUUAACUGGGCGUUAAGUUGCAGGGUAUAGACCCGAAACCCGGUGAUCUAGCCAUGGGCAGGUUGAAGGUUGGGUAACACUAACUGGAGGACCGAACCGACUAAUGUUGAAAAAUUAGCGGAUGACUUGUGGCUGGGGGUGAAAGGCCAAUCAAACCGGGAGAUAGCUGGUUCUCCCCGAAAGCUAUUUAGGUAGCGCCUCGUGAAUUCAUCUUCGGGGGUAGAGCACUGUUUCGGCUAGGGGGUCAUCCCGACUUACCAACCCGAUGCAAACUACGAAUACCGAAGAAUGUUAUCACGGGAGACACACGGCGGGUGCUAACGUCCGUCGUGAAGAGGGAAACAACCCAGACCGCCAGCUAAGGUCCCAAAGUCACAGUUAAGUGGGAAACGAUGUGGGAAGGCACAGACAGCCAGGAUGUUGGCUUAGAAGCAGCCAUCAUUUAAAGAAAGCGUAAUAGCUCACUGGUCGAGUCGGCCUGCGCGGAAGAUGUAACGGGGCUAAACUGUGCACCGAAGCUGCGGCAGCGACACUAUGUGUUGUUGGGUAGGGGAGCGUUCUGUAAGCCUGCGAAGGUGGCCUGUGAGGGUUGCUGGAGGUAUCAGAAGUGCGAAUGCUGACAUAAGUAACGAUAAUGCGGGUGAAAAGCCCGCACGCCGGAAGACCAAGGGUUCCUGUCCAACGUUAAUCGGGGCAGGGUGAGUCGACCCCUAAGGCGAGGCCGAAAGGCGUAGUCGAUGGGAAACAGGUUAAUAUUCCUGUACUUGGUGUUACUGCGAAGGGGGGACGGAGAAGGCUAUGUUAGCCGGGCGACGGUUGUCCCGGUUUAAGCAUGUAGGCGGAGGUUCCAGGUAAAUCCGGUACCUUUUAACGCUGAGGUGUGAUGACGAGGCACUACGGUGCUGAAGUAACAAAUGCCCUGCUUCCAGGAAAAGCCUCUAAGCAUCAGGUAACAUUGAAUCGUACCCCAAACCGACACAGGUGGUCAGGUAGAGAAUACCAAGGCGCUUGAGAGAACUCGGGUGAAGGAACUAGGCAAAAUGGUGCCGUAACUUCGGGAGAAGGCACGCUGAUAUGUAGGUGAAGCCCCUGCGGGUGGAGCUGAAAUCAGUCGAAGAUACCAGCUGGCUGCAACUGUUUAUUAAAAACACAGCACUGUGCAAACACGAAAGUGGACGUAUACGGUGUGACGCCUGCCCGGUGCCGGAAGGUUAAUUGAUGGGGUUAUCCGUAAGGAGAAGCUCUUGAUCGAAGCCCCGGUAAACGGCGGCCGUAACUAUAACGGUCCUAAGGUAGCGAAAUUCCUUGUCGGGUAAGUUCCGACCUGCACGAAUGGCGUAAUGAUGGCCAGGCUGUCUCCACCCGAGACUCAGUGAAAUUGAACUCGCUGUGAAGAUGCAGUGUACCCGCGGCAAGACGGAAAGACCCCGUGAACCUUUACUAUAGCUUGACACUGAACAUUGAGCCUUGAUGUGUAGGAUAGGUGGGAGGCUUUGAAGCGUGGACGCCAGUCUGCGUGGAGCCAACCUUGAAAUACCACCCUUUAAUGUUUGAUGUUCUAACGUUGGCCCCUGACCGGGGUUGCGGACAGUGUCUGGUGGGUAGUUUGACUGGGGCGGUCUCCUCCCAAAGAGUAACGGAGGAGCACGAAGGUUAGCUAAUCCUGGUCGGACAUCAGGAGGUUAGUGCAAUGGCAUAAGCUAGCUUGACUGCGAGCGUGACGGCGCGAGCAGGUGCGAAAGCAGGUCAUAGUGAUCCGGUGGUUCUGAAUGGAAGGGCCAUCGCUCAACGGAUAAAAGGUACUCCGGGGAUAACAGGCUGAUACCGCCCAAGAGUUCAUAUCGACGGCGGUGUUUGGCACCUCGAUGUCGGCUCAUCACAUCCUGGGGCUGAAGUAGGUCCCAAGGGUAUGGCUGUUCGCCAUUUAAAGUGGUACGCGAGCUGGGUUUAGAACGUCGUGAGACAGUUCGGUCCCUAUCUGCCGUGGGCGCUGGAGAAUUGAGGGGGGCUGCUCCUAGUACGAGAGGACCGGAGUGGACGCAUCACUGGUGUUCGGGUUGUCAUGCCAAUGGCAUUGCCCGGUAGCUAAAUGCGGAAGAGAUAAGUGCUGAAAGCAUCUAAGCACGAAACUUGCCCCGAGAUGAGUUCUCCCUGAGACUUUAAGUCUCCUGAAGGAACGUUAAAGACGAUGACGUUGAUAGGUCGGGUGUGUAAGCGUAGCGAUACGUUGAGCUAACCGAUACUAAUGAACCGUGAGGCUUAACCUU